UCGAGAAUCUUUCGCAAUGGACGAAAGUCUGACGAAGCGACGCUGUGUGAGCGAUGAAGGCCUUCGGGUUGUAAAGCUCUUUCGCAUAGGAACAAGAAAGGCUGGUGAAUAGCCAGUUGAUUUGAGGGUACUAUGUAAAGAAGCACCGGCUAACUCCGUGCCAGCAGCUGCGGUAAUACGGAGGGUGCAAGCAUUAAUCGGAUUUAUUGGGCGUAAAGGGCGCGUAGGCGGAUUUGAAAGUCAGAUGUGAAAUACCGAAGCUCAACUUCGGUGCUGCAUUUGAAACUCCAAGUCUAGAGGAAUGGCGGAGAAAAUGGAAUUCCACGUGUAGCGGUGAAAUGCGUAGAUAUGUGGAAGAACACCUGUGGCGAAAGCGGUUUUCUAGCUUUUUCCUGACGCU
rnacentral:rRNA from 1 species